UAUAGUUCCAGUUUUACUAUUUUAGACUUCAAUUUGAAUUUCACGUUGAAUGCUUCAAUGCCUUAGUGAAUAACUCUGACAGAUGUUAAGAUAAAUAUUAGUUGAAGUGUGUUUUGGCAGCAAAGUUUCACAAUCUGUACAGAAAGCCAGGAGUGUGUUGUCCAAAAAAGGAAGGGUAGGUAGAAUAUGGGAACAGAGAUGUCUGAAGGAAAAUAUUCCGCAAUGAGUUUUUAAACACAGGGGUACCGGAAAACCGAAGAUCACCAUGGUGUGACCUUUCUUGGGUCUACUGCAGGUGGAAUCAUCCAUUACAAGAUUCUGAAUGGG